AAAAUGGUGGUGAGCGCGGACAUUUUCGUAGAUCUUCUCGCCGUCUUAGAAAGCUGCUCCGGUAUUUUGAACUGCAAUGUUAUUACCGGGACGUGACUGGCGGUGGGAGAAGACUGUUUUGAGGGGCGGGUGUUUGUUAUUGCAGGUUUCCAGUGCACGGGAUGGAGGCUUUGUUACAAGGCAUGCAAAAGAAGAAGAUGGGAACUCUAUUUGGUUCCUGUGAAGCUGAGUUGAAAGAGCUCAUGAGGCAGAUUGAUAUAAUGUUGGAGCACAAGAAGUCUGAGUGGGAAGCCCAUACAGAGACCCUCAACACUCUGCUGCAGCUUCGAGAUCAGGAGCUCAGCUCUGCCAGAGUACAAGAAGAUCGACUGAGUCAAGAGAUUAGGUCUCUGAGAAAGCAGUUGACAGAGCAAGAAGAAAAUAAUCUCAUUAAGACGACGGAGUAUGAGUCCCAGCUGGCACGCUUUCAGGAGGAGUUAAACAGAUUAAAAAAGACAUAUGAAAAAGUACAGAGAAGACACCAGAGGAUGGAGCUAAAAAGCAGUGGUGAAGGAGACAGGUCCGAAGUCAGUCGGCUGGCGCGCAGACUGGAGGAAUUUCGCCAAAGGUCCCUAGAUUGGGAGAAGCAGCGUCUUCUGUAUCAGCAGCAGGUAGCUGCAUUGGAGGCUCAGCGUAGGACCUUGGCUGAGCAAACAGAAAAAUAUCAGGAAGAGUCUCAGAGCCGGAAACAUAUGUUAGAACAAACUAGUUUGGCUGGCCGUUCAGAGCUCCAGCACCUCGGUGGUCAGCUGCUACGUGCUAAUGACAGUCUGUGCGCCAAAGAAGAAAAGCUCGAAAGUCUGAAGUUACAGCUGGAGUCUUCUACAUCCAGGCGAGAGAGAGCAGAGCGUGAACUUGAGCAAGCUCAGCAGACAAUAAAGGUUCUCCAGGAAGAAAAGGCAGAGCUGAGGGCGACCAUACUAUCUCACUCACACUUUCUGGAAGGAUCGAAAGCUCAGAAAGAGGAGCUUCACAGAGAGGUGCAGAGAGUGAGUGAUACGCUAAGGGACAAAGAGAACAUCAUCAGAUCACUAGAAGAAAGACUUAAACAGACCAGACUGUCAGGUGGGCACAGUGAGAUGGAGGUGCUGCGCUCUCAGCUGUCCAUCAGCCGCUUGAAUGAACAGAGGCUGCAAGAAGAAGUGACCUGUUGGGAGGACCAGGUCAGGUCCGUGACCCAACAGAGUCAGCAAAUCGCCCAAGAAAUAAAGGUCAUGGCUGAGUCACGGCUCCUGUUAGAAGAGGAGAACAAGAAAAACUGGACUGAGAUUAAAAAACUAAAGAGCCAUCUAACCCAGGCUGAACUUUCCUAUAGCAGUGUUCUGGAUGGGAUGAAGAAGGAGAUCUCUCAAUUGACACAGGAACUGCACCAGAAAGACAUUGGCAUUGCUUCCUACAGCUGUAAUGCCAAAGACUGGGAGCGGAAGCUUCAGACUGAGAGAGAGAGAGCGGAUAGAGAAGCAUCUGAGCAUAAAGUUUCACUAGCAGCCCUAGAAACAUUACGAGAAGAAAACCGGCAACUGACUAAGAUGUUGGAGAAACAAGAACCAGAUGUGCGGCUGGCUUUAGACAACCUGGAAUGUGAAAAUCAUAGACUACAGAAAGAAUUGUCACAGGCGAGGAGAAAUCUGGAGCUUGUCCUGCACACCAGACAGUCGGAUAUCCAUAGCGCAGUGGAACGGAGAACACAAGAACUGUUAAGCAGACAUGAGGAGGAGUUGAAGGCACUCAAUGAGCGUCUGAAUGAAAUGUCCCAACGAUAUGAGGAGCUUAGGCAAACACCACCCUCAGCACAGGAAGCUGCCUCUGCUCUGCAAGGUUUAGUAAGGACAAGUUCUCUGGAUUCAGUGUCUUCUGAAGUGGACAAGAGUGAUGAUGGACAUGCUGAAGAUUCCCACCAAGAGCCACAGCUCCCUUUGCCUCCCUCCACCUCACCUAACACCAUAGCGUCACGAUUCCUUCAGGAGGAAGAGCUUCGGUCGCAGGAUCUUAUUCAACGCCUGGACUCUCACAUCGAGGAGCUGAAACAAGACAGUCAGCGGACAGUACAGCACUUCACCAGCUUGAAAUAACAUGACGUCAUAAAGCAGUGGUCCUUAGUCUGUGACAGCUUCCUGAGGGUUGCAGAACUACUAAAUCCAACAUGCUCCCGGCUGUAGUUUUGCAAGAGCCACCAGCUGGAAUAGAGUAAUUUCAGUCAAACGUCAGACCUAAUAAAAUUACAAAGGAAAAAGGAUAUCCUGUUCUCCUUACCUGCGCAGCAUAUGUAUCCAGUUUCUCAAAGUUCUUCAAGUUGACGGGCAUUGACUUAAGGCAAGAUGUAUCCCAGGGGGUCCAUCUUACCAUAAAAGUCUUUGGCGCUAGGCUGCGAAAUUUGCUCCCAUCUGCUGCCAUUCCAGAUGUCUGGUAUCAAUUUUAGCCAAGUGGGGAGAUGUGUGACCACAAAUGCUGCUGAAUCGCUUGGCUGCGGAGAGCCAGGUCACCAGAAGGAGGAGUAAAUAGUAAUAAAGGAGCGGAUGGGACGGCUGGUAAAUAGCGACGCAAUAGUCACCACAAGAGCAAUCAAUGAUACCUUGUUUGGUGACCCAAUGAUUCUGGAGUUGCUGUUGGUUCCCCCACAAAUAACGGGUUUACUCUGAGCCCAUGUAAAGGGACAACCUGUGUUUAUCUUUUUGCAGACCCUUUUAACACAAAUGCAUUGUAAAAAGAGGACAACUUUAAAGGUGAAGUAUACAAAUUGCAACAAACACCAGUCUCAAAUCUGAAAUUCCUUAAAAACUCUACAGAUCAACUAAUCCAUUAAUAUACUUUAUGCAAUUCAAUAGUAUAAGAUUAUUGCUGACAGAAAGGGAUAUAUACAUAUGCAUUGUCCAUAUAGAUAUGGUAGGUACAGGAAAAUGAAUGUAAAAAUAUGAGUGGUUCUAGUGAUCAGCACUAGAUUUACAUAAACAAAGUGUAAUCACUGUAUAAAUGAAAAGUUUGACACUUGUGAAUAUGCUUUGUGUUUCAGUUCCUUACCAUUUUUAACGGGACAUUCAGUUAACCUUUUGAAAUAAAUAUCAUCUUUAGAAGCAGAGG